CUCGCUCUGAUGAACAGCGAGAUUCUCAUUUCCUACACUUAAUAACGCCCUCUUUAUCCAGCAAGGGACAAAGCACACAAAGGGCCGUUGAGCAGCUGCCUCCAGCGCCGAUCCCCAGGCACCGUGUCCCAAAUUGUCCUCCUGGAGUGACAGCGAGGAGCAGCCCAAGCCCUUCAGGUUAGGUGAGAAGAACUCAGCCUGCUGGUAUUUUUUGAGUGUUGGGGACCAAGGGAGCAAAGAACGUGCGUGCUCAAGGUUUGGGAUCUUGAGGACAGUGAUUCACCCUGCAGGAUUUGGGGAGCAAAGCGGUGUUUGGUGUCUGGACAGGAAUGUUGGGGUUUUGCAGGUCUCCUCACAGAUGUGACGCGAUGAACAUUAAAUGCUAAUUAAGCAACUCCCUUGAAGUGCAAACACAACAAAACUGGUAUUUCUGAGAGUUCCAAGGAGCUUCCCAAAAAGCAGUGAUGCAAGCUGCAAAGCAGCUGAGACAAACUCCCUCGGGGUGGAGGAGAGGGAAGCUGGGGGAUGCCGAGCACAGGGCUGAUGUCCUGCAGAGGAAUCCCAUGGCUGUGACACUGUGUCCUGUGACAGACGCCCUGCCUCCUCCCCGUGCACCUCCCCACAACCCUCUGUAUCCCCCUGCAGUGCCAGGGCUGCUUGUGCUUCCCCUGGGCAGCACCUCCAGAUCUUGGAGCUCAGCUGGACAAAAAAUGCCCUUUCUUCAGAGCAACCCAGGCAAAAGAAACCCAAAACAACAGGAGACAGGAGCAGCAUCGAAGAGAAAGCUGUUUGUGUGUGUCCUGGAAGGAAAGGCACCGUGAACAGGGGGUGUCACCUGCUCUGGUGACACUUCACCCCAGGGCACACAGCCCCUGCAGCACCACUGGCCGUGGUGGCUGUCCCAGAGCAGAGCCAGAUAUUGUCCCAGCAGCAGAAAUGAGGCAAGGCAGAUGCUGGAAUACUCAACAGCUCACGAGUCCAACUCUCUUUUUCCACUCACUUGAGACAAAAGAGGAAAUGGGGUUGGAUUCUGUGUCCACGUGUGGAGGGGGAGCAGGGUGGGUCAGCUCCUCAGCCCGUGGCUACCAGGGUGUUGGAACAAGCAUCUCCCAGCAUUUAAUUUUUAAAGCAUUUCAGCCUGAAUUACUCUGCAAGUGAAGCUGAGAAGGAUUUUCCUCCUGCACUGCUGCUUCCUGAUUCAUCUCAGCACCUCAAAACCCUUUGGAGACUUCCAGCCCCAAAUAUUCUCUUCAGCAGCAGAUGGAUAAAAUAUCAGGCAGAAGACGAUGUGUGGCUGUGGCAGCAGCCAAACCCAACAAAAUAUUUGCUUCAAAUCAGGAAGAAGGACAGCGUGUCCAGCUGGGAAAAGCAGGAAAUGGUUUCUAAAAGGGUGAAAGAAGGGGAUGGAGAAGGAGAUGAUUGUGUAAGACAUGAUGUUUCAAUUAGGUCCUGAAUGAUAUCAGAAGUUCAUGAACUCGUUCUAGGCAGAAUGGAGGUGUUUGAUUUGUUCCUGUGCAUCUCCAUCCUGGCACAGACAUCCGAUGGUUUUGUGGACAGGUAAGGGAGGACUUGGCUGUGCAGCAGCUGAGCCAGAAACACCCCCAUGUGUCCAUGAUCCCAGCGGGUAACACCGGCAUGAGGAUGGAACCCACCCCUCCCGCAGGGCUUUGUGCUUUUCAGGAUGAGUUUUGGCUGUUUGAAAAUAUCAGAAGCCAGCUGGGCCAGUAAUUUCCCUGGAGAGAUGCUGGGUUGGCUCAGAGAUGGUUGAGGGAUGUCAGCAGGAAUGACAGAGGGGUGUAAAAGGCAAACCAUUCCCGUGGAUUUGGGGCUUGUUGGAACAGGUUCUCCUGGGUUACUGUGGCUGUGAAAUAUCACAGGUUUGCUGCAAGACUCAUCACUACUGUCACAUCCCUGGCUCUCCCAGGAGAGGACAGAAGCCUCCUGCCAGCAUCAUGUCAAGGGCUCUACCACAUUGCACACGAGGAUUUGUGAUUGCCUCUCACAAAGGACUGAGGAGCCAGAAAUGGGCUCUGGUGAGGAAAUGAUUGCACAACAUCUCCUCCAUCUGAUUCCUUGUGUUUGCAGAACAUCCAUCCCUUGUCCUGGGGCUUUCCUGGAAGCUGAGGGAGAGCAGUUACAGGCAAUAGCAAUGCACUUCAAAAUCAUCCCUUCAAGUGAAACACAGACAAUCAUUUUCUUGAACUGCUACGUUUCCAGCAGAAGGGCUGCAGGUCAGUGUUUCCUUCCAAACAAACACUUUGCUCUGUCAUCAUAAGGUUGGAAAAGGCCUCUAAGAUCAAGCCCAGCCAUUACUGGCUGAUCUCCUCCUUUCAUAGCCUCUCUUCUGACUUUUCUAGAAAGGGAAAAUUGCCAUUUUUGAGGGGAAAAAAAGAUUUGAUUUGUCAUUUGCAGCUGUCUCACCUCAAACACAGCUGCCUUUAGAGGGCUCCCCAAGAACAGCUGAGCUGAACGCGUCCGGUGGGGAAAAUGCCUCUGAUCCCACCUGGGAAUAGAUGGAGACUGCAGGCGGGAUGCUCAGGGCCACAGGACACCUUGUCCUUGUUCUGCCGCGGAUCCCUCCUGCUUUUUGUGCUGCUGCUGGAUCUGCUUCUGCAGGAGAAGCCUCUGCGAGCUGCUGCUGCUGACACAAGGCAGGGAUGCAGUUUCCAUGAGGAAAAUCCAGGCAGCUGGGAUGUGGGGGCAGCGAAUGAGGGCACCGGGGAGGGAACAGGAGCCAGCAGAGCUCUGCCCAUGCGGAAAGGCCGUGGGGACACAGAGGGUGCCCCGACAGCUGCGCGCUCCCAGGGCAGGGCUCGUUUUUGCCUUCUCUCCAAGCCAAACAGAGUUUGUGCCUUUCUUGUUUGUUUGUUUAUUUUCCACGCGAAAGGAAUUCCGCACAAUGGCUUUCCCAGAAAGAAGAUGCGAGACUUUUUCUUGGCUUUCCUGGAAGCGGUGAAUCACCUCGCUCCUUUUUGUGGGGUCCCGGCGGCGAGGGGCGCGACGCGGUGCGACAUCCGCGCUCGGGCUGUGCCACCUCCUGGUGGCAGCGGGCGGUGCAUCCCUGCGUCCCUGCAUCCCUGCAUCCCUGCGUCCC